GUAGAAUAUAUGAGCACCGCAGUUUAAAUCAUCAAACAAUAGAUUCACGAAACAAGUGAAAAACUCGAGAAAUAAAACUGCUUUUAAUGAAGACUGUGAGAAAGUUAAACUUUAUAAACCGCGUUAUGAGACGAGAUGAUGAGAGACUGAAUCUUUACCUCAGAGGAACAUUUAUUUCUUUGUUCUUUAAUGUAAAUUUCUCCUCGACCGUUCUCCAGACGUGGACAACUAUUCUGAAGACAAUGACAGUUAUUCUUCAGAGCAGGAGGUCAGUGAUGAUGCCGUUCAGGGUCAGUGGAUAUGAACAGAAGUUCAGAUGAGUCUAUAGCGCUUCACUCUACAGCUGUUGAGCAGACGGCUGGGGGGGAUGUCACAUGUGACGGGGAUGUGAACGCAGACAAAUCAGCAGCAAACAUCAGCAAACUCUGCAAGGCCGAGUCUCAGACUCUCAUGUCGUGGAGACGCUGUGUCUUUCGUUAA